AGGGUUUGAUCAUGGCUCAGAACGAACGCUGGCGGCAGGCCUAACACAUGCAAGUCGAACGACCUUAGCAAUAAGGGAGUGGCUGACGGGUGAGUAACACGUGGGAACCUUCCUAUUAGUAUGGAAUAGACCGGGGAAACCCGGAGUAAUACCGUAUACGCCCUAAGGGGGAAAGAUUUAUCGCUAAUAGAUGGGCCCGCGUAAGAUUAGCUAGUUGGUGAGGUAAUGGCUCACCAAGGCUACGAUCUUUAGCUGGUCUGAGAGGAUGAUCAGCCACACUGGAACUGAGACACGGUCCAGACUCCUACGGGAGGCAGCAGUGGGGAAUAUUGGACAAUGGAGGCAACUCUGAUCCAGCCAUGCCGCGUGAAUGACGAAGGCCUUCGGGUUGUAAAGUUCUUUUAGUGGGGAAAAUAAUGAUGGUACCCGCAGAAAAAGCUCCGGCUAACUUCGUGCCAGCCGCCGCGGUAAUUCA
rnacentral:rRNA from 1 species